CAAUAGCGUAUAUUGAAGUUGCUGCGGUUGAAAAGCUCGUAGUUGGAUUUCUGCCAAGGACGACCGGUCCGCCCUUUGGGUGAGCACCUGGCUCGGCCUGGGCAUCUUCUUGGGGAGCGUGACUGUACUUCAUUGUGUGGCGCGGUGUCCAGGACCUUUACUUUGAGGAAAUUAGAGUGUUUCAAGCAGGCUCACGCCUUGAAUACAUUAGCAUGGAAUAAUAAUCUAGGACUUCGGUUCUAUUUUGUUGGUUUCUAGUACUGAAGUAAUGAUUGAUAGGGAUAGUUGGGGGUGGCUAGUAUUGGGCGGCCAGAGGUGAAAUUCUUGGAUUCGCUCAAGACUAACUUAUGCGAAAGCAUUCACCAAGGAUGUCUUCUUUAAUCAAGAACGAAAGUUGGGGGAUCGAAGAUGAUUAGAUACCGU
rnacentral:rRNA from 1 species